rnacentral:rRNA from 1 species
UACGUAGGGGGCAAGCGUUGUCCGGAAUCAUUGGGCGUAAAGCGCGUGUAGGCGGCCCGGUAAGUCCGCUGUGAAAGUCCAGGGCUCAACCCUGGAAUGCCGGUGGAAACUGUCGAGCUAGAGUCCGGAAGAGGCGAGUGGAAUUCCUGGUGGUAGCGGUGAAAUGCGCAGAUAUCAGGAGGAACACCAAUGGCGAAGGCAGCUCGCUGGGACGGUACUGACGCUGAGACGCGAAAGCGUGGGGAGCAAACAGG